rnacentral:lncRNA from 1 species
AGUGGGAAGAUAAGUUAAUUGAAAUUUUGAUUUUAUACUCGCAUUUUUAUAGAGCGUCGAUGACGGCAAAGAAAUAAUUGACUGAGAGCACAUCACUAUUACAGUACCAUCUUAUUACGGUUGUUAGCCUGGUUGAGGAGUGAUGCCAGAGAAGAGAUUCUGAGGAGGCACGAGGAGACGUCGCAGCCAAUCAGAUGGCAGUAGGAGAACCAAGAAGUAUAACGAAGGACAGGUCACGUAAAUGAGAAACAGAAAAGUUAAGUGACUUGCUCAAAGUCAUCUGAAGCAAAGCCCCCUUGAAUGCAGAGUUUGUCACGAAUGUAGUCCCUGCAUUCCAAAAAGACUGAAUGUACUUUUUCUGACCUCACUAGCCCGAACUGGACUCCAAGUUUCCCUCCACACCGGGCUUCAACCUUCAUUCUGAGCUACUGGGCUCUCCCGACAAUCUACAGAGGAGCACGUAGAACACAAAUCCACUCAUCCUCAGUCACAGAACUGCAUCCUACCAAGCAUAUUGUAAUGGACUGUGUCUGCGGAGAGGAAUCACCCUGAGCGUCUCUGGACCAGUAGAGUCAGCGGGGUUGGCGACAGCAUGGAGAUGAGGGUCAUUGCGCAACAGCAGGAGCAAAGGACAGGGUGGCGUCACAGCAGGGAGAUGCCAUGGCUCACAACACCACCCAGCUCUGGAGGUCAGUGCAAUAAUCC